ACACCCACUCCUAUGUAACACUCCGCCAGGAGAUAAAGUAGUCCCCAACCCAUAGUGGGCCCCAUGCCAAAUGUUAGCCGACGUAUAAAAUCCCAGAGUCUCUUCAGACCCGAUUAUGGUUUUGAGGCCUCGGAGCGACCUUCCGGAACACUGAAAAUGUGUCUUUCCCGGGGCCAGCGGGAGAAGUAGUUCCGGCCUACAAUAGGCCGAUGGGUUCCUCCGCAGCGGGGGAAAGAGGAUGGCGACCUCGUCGAUGCCGGAGUCAGAGAGGAACGUGGCUACGAAAGCCUCAGAGUGAAGUCCCCAGACCCUACGCCACGCUGUCAGGCAGCCCGCUGAUCCGAUGGAGGAGAACGAGGUGGAGAGCAGCAGCGACGCGGCCCCUGGGCCUGGCCGGCCCGAGGAGCCCUCUGAGAGCGGCCUGGGUGUGGGCACCUCGGAAGCCGUGUCGGCCGACAGCAGCGACGCCGCGGCCGCCCCGGGGCAGGCAGAGGCCGAUGACUCUGGCGUGGGGCAAAGCUCGGACCGCGGCAGCGGCUCUCAGGAGGAGGUAUCCGAGAGCAGCUCGAGCGCAGACCCCCUGCCUAAUGGCUACCUCCCUGAUUCAUCGUCUGUGUCCCAUGGGCCAGUGGCAGGGGUGACAGGCGGUCCCCCAGCACUUGUGCACUCUAGUGCACUCCCAGACCCCAACAUGCUGGUGUCUGACUGCACAGCUUCCUCCUCGGACCUGGGCUCAGCCAUCGACAAGAUCAUCGAGUCCACCAUCGGGCCCGACCUCAUCCAGAGCUGCAUCACUGUGACCAGUGCCGAGGAUGGCGGGGCCGAGACCACGAGGUACCUGAUCCUGCAGGGCCCAGAUGAUGGAGCCCCCAUGACAUCACCAAUGUCCAGUUCCACCUUGGCCCACAGCCUGGCAGCCAUUGAGGCCCUGGCAGAUGGCCCCACAUCCACAUCCACAUGCCUGGAGCCACCUGAGGAGGCACAGGGUGGGCCCAGCUCCCCGGUGCAGCUGCCUCCAGCCUCUGGUGCUGAAGAACCAGACCUGCAGAGCCUGGAGGCCAUGAUGGAGGUGGUGGUGGUGCAGCAGUUCAAGUGCAAGAUGUGCCAGUACCGGAGCAGCACCAAGGCCACACUGCUGCGCCACAUGCGGGAGCGCCACUUCCGUCCAGUAGCAGCAGCCACAGCAGCAUCUGGUAAAAAAGGACGUCUACGGAAGUGGAGCACCUCCACCAAGACCCAAGAGGAAGAGGGACCGGAGGAGGAGGACGAUGACGACAUUGUAGACGCUGGAGCCAUUGAUGACCUGGAGGAGGAUAGCGACUAUAAUCCAGCUGAGGAUGAGCCCCGAGGCCGGCAGCUUCGGCUCCAGCGCCCCACCCCCAGUACCCCAAGGCCCCGAAGGAGACCUGGCCGGCCCCGGAAGCUGCCCCGCCUGGAGAUCUCAGACCUCCCAGAUGGUGUGGAAGGAGAGCCUCUAGUGAGUUCCCAGAGUGGACAGAGCCCUCCAGAGCCACAGGAUCCUGAGGCUCCCAGCUCCUCAGGCCCAGGACACCUGGUGGCCAUGGGCAAGGCAAACAGGACCCCUGUGGAAGCUGGUGUGAGCCAGUCAGAUGCAGAGAACGCAGCUCCCUCCUGCCCGGAUGAGCAUGACACUCCACCCCGGCGCCGAGGUCGACCUUCCAGGCGCUUCCUAGGCAAGAAAUACCGCAAGUACUAUUACAAGUCGCCCAAACCGCUUUUGAGGCCCUUCCUGUGCCGCAUCUGUGGUUCUCGCUUUCUGUCCCACGAGGACCUGCGCUUCCACGUCAACUCCCAUGAGGCUGGCGAUCCCCAGCUCUUCAAGUGCCUGCAGUGCAGCUAUCGUUCCCGCCGCUGGUCCUCUCUCAAGGAGCACAUGUUCAACCACGUGGGCAGCAAGCCCUACAAGUGUGACGAGUGCAGCUACACCAGUGUCUACCGGAAGGACGUCAUUCGGCACGCCGCUGUGCACAGCCGAGACCGGAAGAAGAGGCCAGAUCCGACUCCAAAGCUGAGCUCUUUCCCCUGCCCUGUGUGUGGCCGUGUGUACCCCAUGCAGAAAAGACUUACGCAGCACAUGAAGACGCACAGCACUGAGAAGCCCCACAUGUGUGACAAGUGUGGAAAGUCCUUUAAGAAGCGCUACACCUUCAAAAUGCACCUGCUCACACACAUCCAGGCUGUUGCCAACCGCAGGUUCAAGUGUGAGUUCUGUGAGUUCGUUUGUGAAGACAAGAAGGCACUGCUGAACCACCAGUUGUCCCACGUCAGUGACAAGCCCUUCAAAUGCAGCUUUUGUCCCUACCGCACCUUCCGAGAGGACUUCCUGCUGUCCCAUGUGGCUGUCAAGCACACAGGGGCCAAGCCCUUUGCCUGUGAGUACUGCCACUUCAGCACACGGCACAAGAAAAACCUACGCCUGCACGUACGGUGCCGACAUGCAAGCAGCUUCGAGGAAUGGGGGAGGCGCCACCCUGAGGAGCCCCCCUCCCGCCGUCGCCCCUUCUUCUCUCUGCAGCAGAUUGAGGAGCUGAAGCAGCAGCACAGUGUGGCCCCUGGACCACCUCCCAGCUCCCCAGGACCUCCUGAGAUACCCCCAGAGGCGACACCUUUCCAGUCAUCUGAGGCUCCCUCACUGCUCUGUCCUGACACCCUGGGCGGCGCCACCAUCAUCUACCAGCAAGGAGCCGAGGAGUCGACAGCGAUGGCCACGCAGACAGCCUUGGAUCUUCUACUGAACAUGAGUGCCCAGCGGGAACUGGGGGGCACAGCCCUGCAGGUGGCUGUGGUGAAGUCGGAGGACGUGGAAGCAGGGUUAGCAUCCCCUGGUGGGCAGCCCUCCCCUGAAGGUGCCACUCCACAGGUGGUCACCCUCCAUGUGGCAGAGCCAGGGGGCGGUGUGGCAGCCGAGAGCCAGCUAGGCCCUCCUGACCUACCACAGAUCACCCUGGCACCUGGUCCAUUUGGUGGGACUGGCUACAGUGUCAUCACGGCACCCCCUAUGGAGGAGGGAACAUCAGCUCCUGGCACACCUUACAGCGAGGAGCCCUCAGGAGAGGCAGCCCAGACUGUGGUUGUGAGUGACACCCUAAAAGAAGCUGGCACCCACUACAUCAUGGCUACUGAUGGUACCCAGUUGCACCACAUUGAGCUCACCGCAGAUGGCUCCAUCUCCUUCCCAAGUCCAGAUGCUCUGGCCUCUGGUGCCAAAUGGCCCCUGCUGCAGUGUGGGGGGCUGCCGAGAGAUGGCCCUGAGCCUCCAUCUCCAGCCAGCACCCACCGUGUAGGGGACCCCCCGAGCUCUGCCUCCCCACCUCCUGCAACCAGCAAAGCCCUGGGCCUGGCAGUGCCCCCCUCACCGCCGUGUGCAGCCACUGCAGCAUCAAAGAAGUUUUCCUGCAAGAUCUGUGCCGAGGCCUUCCCUGGCCGAGCUGAGAUGGAGAGUCACAAGCGGGCCCAUGCUGGGCCUGGUGCCUUCAAGUGCCCCGACUGCCCCUUCAGUGCCCGCCAGUGGCCCGAGGUCCGGGCGCACAUGGCGCAGCACUCAAGCCUGCGGCCCCACCAGUGUAGCCAGUGCAGUUUCGCCUCCAAGAAUAAGAAGGACCUGCGGCGGCACAUGCUGACUCACACCAAGGAGAAGCCGUUUGCAUGCCACCUCUGCGGGCAGCGUUUCAACCGUAACGGGCACCUCAAGUUCCAUAUCCAGCGGCUGCACAGUCCCGAUGGGAGGAAGUCAGGAACCCCUACAGCCCGGGCUGCUACCCAGACCCCAACCCAGACCAUCAUCCUCAACAGUGAUGACGAAACACUGGCCACCCUGCACAGUUUUCCUGGACCUCACGUGAGCAUCCUCUCCUCUCUGCCCAGCCGCACUCCAGUCCAGUCACGGGGUCCUGGGCCCAGAGCGGCUACAGCAGGCACUGGGCCAGGAACAUAUCAUCGUUGCCCAGGAGCAGACAGUGACCAAUCAGGAGGAAGCCACCUACAUCCAAGAGAUCACCACAGCAGAUGGCCAGACUGUACAGCACCUGGUGACCUCCGACAACCAGGUGCAGUAUAUCAUCUCCCAGGAUGGUGUCCAGCACCUGCUCCCCCAGGAAUAUGUUGUGGUCCCCGAGGGCCAUCACAUCCAGGUACAGGAGGGCCAGAUCACACACAUCCAGUAUGAACAAGGAGCCCCGUUCCUUCAGGAGUCCCAGAUCCAGUAUGUGCCUGUGUCCCCAGGCCAGCAGCUUGUCACACAGGCUCAACUUGAGGCUGCAGCACACUCGGCUGUCACAGCAGUGGCUGAUGCUGCCAUGGCCCAAGCCCAAGGCCUGUUUGGCACAGAGGAGGCAGUGCCUGAACACAUUCAACAGCUGCAGCACCAGGGCAUCGAGUACGACGUCAUCACCCUGGCCGAUGACUGAGCCCUGAGGGCCCGACACAGAUCAUGGAUUUGAGGCCAGCCCUCCUGGGGGUGGGGGGCCACCAGGACUCACCUCCCUCUUCAUUUAGUAUCUCCAGAUACUGGACAGCCAGCAUCCUCUCAUUCCUAGGGAGCCAGACCUGUGCUGUUGGGGUUAGGGGCAGCCAUGGGCCCCGGCCAAGACGUGCUGGGUGCCCCAGCCUGCAGGCAGGCUUUGGGAUAGAAAUUUAUUUUUGUUUGGGUGGACCCACUGGCCUCUCAGUCUCAAUAAAGGGACUGGAGUCCAGUCCUGAACAGCUUA